AGCACUCUGAGCGCUCUCGCGUCGUGGCUUUCUCUCUCUAGAAGCAGCCUCGCCGCCCUUUCUCUCUCCUCUCUCAUCGCUUUGCCGCCACGUUUUUCGAUUCGCCGAUCAAUCAACUCGUCGACUUCAUCAUCGAGAGGGCGAGAAAGUGAGAAAGUUCUUUAAUUUUCUGCUGUUUCUAUUUUCGUCUCCGUUUCGAAUCUAGGGUUUCAUUCUUGAUCUCAGAUUGCCUCUGCGGAAACCGAAGAUCGAGGUAUGAUUUUCUAGUAUUCGUCGGUUUUGUGUUUUGUGGUCUAUUCAGAUCUGUGAUUGUUUGGAUUUUAAGGUUUCGUGUUGGUUCCUUUGAAUUUGGGGAAAUUGUUGUGUUGGUUUUGUGAUUUCUAGGGUUAGGGUUUUGAAGGGAGGGGAUUUUUCGGGGGGGACUUUGAUUGGGGGAUUAGGGUUUUCUCUGGUGUUUUGCAUUAAUGGCGGCAGGAAGGCACGGGGGUUAUCGUGAUAAUGAAUUUAAGGAGCGGGAGUCUGAUUUAGAUGUGUCAAGGCGGAAUUUUGCUUAUUCUAAGGACGAGUAUGAUCGGAGUAGGAACGGUAACCGUGAGGGUCGGAUUAGGGAUUCGAGAGAGAGGAAUAGGGUUAGACAGAAGGAUAUUAAGGAGAGGGAAUCAAUAAAUGGUGGAUACCGGUCUUCUUCUAGUAGAAGUGAUUCUGGAAGUAGUGGUGGUGGUGGCAGUGGUGGUGGUGGUGGUGGUGGUGGUGGUGUGCCUAGACGAUGUGUUUUUUCGGUUAGGACUGCUGACCGCGAGCCUGGUGAGUUGUCAAGUGAGAGUGGAUCGGAUGAUGGCAUCGAGUCGGAGUCACAGGCUAAUAAUGAGGUUUCGAAGGUGGAGAAUGGGAUUCGGUCACCUUUGGAUAGGAAGAGGAAGUUUUCACCUAUUGUGUGGGAUAGAGAAGAUAAGGAAUCGAAUAAUUCUUCCAAAAGUAGAAUUGCCUCAACAGCAACUGCCCUUCCUCCUCCCCCUCCACUGCCUAAGACAUACCGCCAGUCACCAAAACUUAUUCAAGAUGAGGGUAUGCGGGUUUCUCCGGCCAAAAAUAGCAAGAUUCAGCGUUCACAACUGCCACCAUCACCAAGCCUCCCUCCGGUGGCACCUUUGUCAGUUACCCUUGAUGUGUCUAGUUCUCCCAUUGAGUUGAACACUUCUUCACCUCAAGAGCAGCAGUGGAGUAAUGAAAAAGAAGCAGACCAAAUUGAAGAUGAAGAUUAUGUUCCCACUCGGAACAUAUCAUCAUCACGAUGGGCAGAUGAAGCCAAUUCCCCAGUUGAUGAGGGUGAAAUUUUGGAUGAUGAGGAAAUUCCUAAGAGGAGGAAGAAAAUGUUUCUUUCUGAGGGCUUGGAGCCCAGGGUACUCAAGAAGUCUGUGAGUCCUGAGCUUGGGGAGCUUAAGAGGGAAGGUUCUGAAGGAGCAAGGGCAAAAUCAACUGACUCUGAUGAAAGAGGCAACCGUGGUAGGUCAGGUACUAGGGAAGAUUACCCAGAUAAUAACUCAGACAGGAAUGACUAUAUGGAAAUUGAGGACUAUCAUAACAAUGAUGCUAGUGCUAGGCAGUCAGAUACAGAUUCUGAGCAUGAAAAUGUUUCUCGGGAGACUCCAGAGCCUGCACUCCCACCACAAAGAAGUGUAAAUAUGCUUCAAGGAUGUAGAAGUGUUGACGAGUUUGAGAGAUUAAAUAAGAUAGAUGAAGGCACUUAUGGUGUUGUGUACAGAGCUAAAGAUAAGAAGACGGGAGAAAUCGUAGCCUUGAAGAAGGUGAAGAUGGAGAAAGAAAGAGAAGGUUUUCCUUUGACUUCACUGAGGGAAAUAAACAUACUUCUUUCCUUUCAUCACCCUUCAAUUGUUGAUGUUAAAGAAGUCGUGGUAGGGAGCAAUCUUGACAGUAUAUUUAUGGUUAUGGAAUACAUGGAGCAUGACCUUAAGGGGCUGAUGGAGACAAUGAAGCAGCCAUUUAGUCAGAGUGAAGUUAAAUGCUUAAUGCUCCAGCUAUUGGAGGGGAUUAAGUAUCUCCAUGAUAACUGGGUUCUUCAUCGGGAUUUGAAGACAUCAAAUCUACUUUUGAAUAAUAGGGGUGAGUUGAAGAUUUGUGAUUUUGGAUUGGCUCGGCAAUACGGGAGCCCUUUGAAACCAUAUACUCAUUUGGUGGUUACUCUAUGGUACAGGGCGCCAGAACUUUUGUUGGGAGCAAAGCAAUACUCAACAGCAAUUGACAUGUGGUCGUUAGGUUGCAUAAUGGCUGAACUGUUAUCAAAGGAACCACUGUUCAAUGGGAAAACUGAACUCGAUCAGAUUGACAAGAUUUUUAGAACCCUUGGCACACCAAGUGAGACAAUUUGGCCUGGGUUUUCCAAAUUGCCUGGAGUCAAGGUUAACUUCGUCAAGCAUCAGUAUAACCUACUGCGUAAGAAAUUUCCUGCCACAUCUUUCACUGGAUCUCCGGUUCUCUCUGACUCUGGAUUUGACUUGUUGAACAAACUUUUAACUUAUGACCCUGAGAAGAGGAUUACAGCUGAAGCUGCUCUUAACCAUGAUUGGUUCCGCGAAGUUCCUCUUCCCAAAUCUAAAGAUUUCAUGCCUACUUUUCCUGCUCAGCAUGCCCAGGACAGGCGCGUGCGAAGAAUAAUGAAGAGUCCAGAUCCUUUAGAAGAGCAGCGUAGAAAGGAGUUGCAGCAAGGGGAAUUAGGAGCUGGUGGUUUGUUUGGCUAAGAGAAACUAGUGGGUGUGCAGUUGCCCCUUCAUGCUUGAGUUUUUCUCAGUACUCAUAAGUGAAAAUGUUAGAGGUGAGAGACACAUGUUGAAUGGAAGUUGCGAACAUUGUUUGUCAGACGAUUAUUCAUGCUGUUUUUUAGCAGGCAUCCCUGAUGAUUUGGGUGGAGAAAUGCAUUUUUUUCCUCCUCCCACAAAACCAGAUCCACAGGUUAACUUUGUUCCCCAGACUUGGUCAGCACAUAGAAAUGCAUCUGUGGCAACUGCUUGCAUCACAAGAGACGGUUGGUGUAAAGCGGAGGGGAGUUCUUUGCUUUUCAUUUGACGAAGAAAUUGACAGUAACCGUAGUACUUUGAAGUAUCAAAGCAAAAGCUAGUUGAGGAAAUUUUCUGUUGUUCAGGAAUUGCUUUGUAACUUCAGGCUCAAUUGAGGAAUAUGGCUGGAAGAAUGUGUUGCUUUGCAAAUGAAAAUUGUUAUGAAGCACCUGCAUGAUCCGGUUUAUUUAACUAUAACAUGUCGAAGGAAUUCAGGAAGAAGAAAAAAUACGAGACAUAAAUUGCACAAGCUUUUUAUCAAAAGAGUAGUCAUGCAGGCACUCUCUGACUUGACCAGAGGCCUUCUUCCUUUGUGGGUAUGCGGUAGACAAAUCUUGGAAGCUGAGCUUUUGACAUGGAUUUUAUAGCUGGAGAGGAGGGAGGCUGUUGAUUCUAUUGCAGUUCAAGUUUUACGGAGCCAAUCUGCCCCAUGUUGCCUUGUGCUCCGUGACAUCCAGUGAACUCGCGUGCUGCUUGUUUUUCCAGUGUCUUUCUGUUUGUUUGUUUGGGUAUUUAUUUAUUUAUUUAUUUACUUUUUUUAUUUUAUUUUGAUGAUUUGAUGAUAUUGGGGGCCAUCAGGUGGGAAUACAAUCAGAUUGCCAGCCUCUCCAGCCUCUCCAGCCAUCCAAAUUCAAUUCAGACUUUUGGGAAGGUAGCAAGCGUGAGAUUAAAAUCGCCUAGUCAUUUUAUUUAGGGUUGAAGGGGCAAAAUUGUACAGGCAUACUAAUGUUGGACGUUCCUGGUUCUUAACAAAAACAUCACUUGUACAUAUUAAGUCGGGGCAUUUGUGGUACUUGCUGUUAUCCGCGUCCAAGCAGGACAGCAGCUAACUGGGAGGCGAGGCUUUCACAUAUUAACUCGUAAAAAUAAAAAAUGCGGAGAGGUGAAGGUGGUGCCUUUUGUUC